rnacentral:rRNA from 1 species
CCUANGGGUGGCAGCAGUGGGGAAUCUUGGACAAUGGGGGCAACCCUGAUCCAGCGAUGCCGCGUGGGUGAAGAAGGCCUUCGGGUUGUAAAGCCCUUUAGGCUGGGACGAAGGGUGUGGGACGAAUAAUCCUGCACUUUGACGGUACCAGCAGAAUAAGCACCGGCAAACUCUGUGCCAGCAGCCGCGGUAAUACAGAGGGUGCGAGCGUUAAUCGGAUUUACUGGGCGUAAAGGGCGCGUAGGCGGUGAUGUGAGUGUGAUGUGAAAGCCCCGGGCUCAACCUGGGAAGUGCAUCGCAAACGACAUGACUGGAGUAGAUGAGAGGGUGGCGGAAUUUCCGGUGUAGCGGUGAAAUGCGUAGAGAUCGGAAGGAACGUCAAUGGCGAAGGCAGCCACCUGGCAUCAUACUGACGCUGAGGCGCGAAAGCGUGGGGAGCGAACAGGAUUAGAUACCCGUNUANUC